UGGUGGAGUGAUUUGUCUGGUUAAUUCCGUUAACGAACGAGACCCCUGCCUGCUAAAUAGCUCAGUGAGUGAAUUUUCACUGACUGUCAGCUUCUUAGAGG
rnacentral:rRNA from 1 species